rnacentral:rRNA from 1 species
CCUACGGGAGGCAGCAGUGGGGAAUAUUGCACAAUGGGGGAAACCCUGAUGCAGCGACGCCGCGUGAAGGAUGAAGGAUUUCGGUAUGUAAACUUCUAUUAGCAGGGAAGAAAAUGACGGUACCUGACUAAGAAGCCCCGGCUAACUACGUGCCAGAAGCCGCGGUAAUACGUAGGGGGCAAGCGUUAUCCGGAUUUACUGGGUGUAAAGGGAGCGUAGACGGUAUGGCAAGUCUGAGGUGAAAACCCGGGGCUCAACCCCGGGACUGCAUUGGAAACUGCCGAACUAGAGAGUAGGAGAGGCAAGUGGAAUGCAUGGUGUAGCGGUGAAAUGCGUAGAUAUUAGGCGGAACACCGGUGGCGAAGGCAGCUUGCUGGACGAUGACUGACGUUGAGGCUCGAAAGCGUGGGGAGCAAACAGGAUUAGAUACCCUUGUAGUC